rnacentral:rRNA from 1 species
UAAGGAAUAUUGCUCAAUGGGAGAAAUCCUGAAGCAGCAACGCCGCGUGGAGGAUGAAGGGUCUAUGACUUGUAAACUCCUGUAAAGAAGGAAAAAAUUCCCAUUUGAUGGGAGAUGAUGGUACUUCUGGAGUAAGCCCCGGCUAACUACGUGCCAGCAGCCGCGGUAAUACGUAGGGGGCAAGCGUUGUCCGGAUUUACUGGGUGUAAAGGGUGCUCAGGCGGAUGUGUAAGUCAGAGGUGAAAUCUUACAGCUUAACUGUGAAACUGCCUUUGAUACUGCAAGCCUAGAGUAUGGAAGAGNGUGAUGGAAUAUCUGGUGUAGCAGUGAAAUGCGUAGAUAUCAGAUAGAACACCAAUGGCGAAGGCAGUCACUUGGUCCAUUACUGACGCUCAAGCACGAAAGCGUGGGUAGCAAACA